AUCAGAAAGUGUUUCAUUUAUAAAAUAUUGUAAUAUAUAAAUAUUGUAGAACGUUGUUUUAAAAGUAUGGUCACUGUUCUGGAGACAACUAUCAAUCGACGUUCACCCUCCCAAAAAUCAGAAUGUCAUAUAUUCUGUGUAGAUCACAAAGCAACCUUCUAGGAAUUGUUUGACAUAGGAAGUAAUAUUUGGCUGUGACCUUGGAGGAUUUUGCGUCUUCUCUAGUUUCUCCUUUGGCUUUCAGACUGGUUUUACAGAAAUUCCAACAUCCUCACCACCUCUUUUGGUGCCUCUCAGCACUUCGGAAACUGCUUUGCCUUACAUCAAAUUCUGCAUCUAAAUAAGUGCACAUUAUCGCAGACAGCUGAGGAUGAUUGCAUAAACAAAUUACCGCAUUUUUAACAUUCAUACAAGCCAGAAGUAUUCUUUGCAUGCGUGGUUCAGCAUUUUCAUACUUCCAUGAUUUUAUUUCCAAGCCAAAUUGCAUUCAAAAAGCAAAGCACAUAUUCAUCCGUGGGAAUUAACGACAUACCAAGCUUGCAGAUUCAACACAAAGCUGCUUUUGAGUUGCCACAGCAUUAAAAAUAGCAUCUGAAAAAUUACUUGUGAAAAGUGAUUUUCCAUACAUGAAUAAUUUAAACGGACAAAUGGAAUUUUAUUGAAGUCUGUUUUCUUACCACCUCAAGCUGUAUUUUGAGAAGAUGUGUGAAAUUUAAAGGCUUUUUAGAAUAUUGGAACAACGGCAAUAGAGUGAGAAGUUUAAGAGCAGAGAGGCAGCUACAUACCAGAAAUGCUUGUGAAAACAAGCUACAUUUCAAAUGUCAUUUUCCUGGCCUUAACAGUAUUCCUCCUUACAUUGAUAAGUAAUUAUACAGUCAGAUGUAACUUACGCUGAGUACUUAUCUGACUACUUUGUCAUGGUUUUAAGAGAUUUUAAGUUUACUUCGCAGUGUCGUUCUCAUUUGGAGUUAUCCAUAGGACUUAGCAUAUUUCACAAAUCAGAACAAACAGUGAAUGUUCCCAGGAAGUAGGGCAAGGCAAGCAGUGUUCGGAGGUGGGGUGAGGGGAGGAGGAGAUACGUGGAAAACUUUAUGACUGUGCUGUAAGUCACAUGAUAGCGGCUCAAUGGGAAGGGAAAACACUUGAUAGGGAAGGAGAGCAUGAAGAAAUGAAAAGUGGAUGCAGCAGCAGGACCUCUUUGAGAACAGCUAGUUGAAUUGAGUGCAAAAUCAUGUAAAACUGGCCUUGGAAAUGGUUUUGCUCUGACCUGAAAACAGCUCUUCUGACUUUAAGUAGUGGGGAAAACCAUGAUAGUUUUAUAUAACUGAAUUAUUCCCAGUCUGUUUAGCAAUGACUCAAGUUCAGAACUUGUGACGUCAUGAAUGAGUCAGACAAAAGUAUGAUUUAACUUAUAGAAUACUAUUACUGUGAUUACCAUCAGUACCAGGAAUAUGUCAGUUUAAGACCUGGUAUAACAGAUUUUGUAAUUUAAUUUUUAUGAAGUUUUCUUAGAAAGAGCUAUCACAUAUAGAUAUGACAUUUACGUCACAUUAAAUUAAUUAUUUGACUGGCUCAAAAAAGACAUUGUGCUUCAUCACAUAAUGGCUAACCAUGUAAUGGCCUCAACCUGAGUGUACACCCACUGGUGAGAGGCAAGAAGAUUACCAGCAGCUUUGAAGCAGACAUGCAUAACGAUCCCAUCAUUCUUAAGAAACAAAAAAUUAGCUAAGAAAUUCAGAGCUGUAGCAUUACAGUGUUGAAUGUAACUGCUGGAUCUGAAGCACACUUCUUUUCUGGAUGACUUAAGCCAUCUCUACGUUAUUACAUGUAUUGUUAGAAUGUUAUUGCAUACCAUGUAAUUCUGCAUUGUUGUGUGUGGUUUUUCACAGAACUGACCACUUGAAAGUUGCUUAUUGUGAUCAAGGAACAGAUGGUGAGGUCUGAGGCUCAUCACUUUUCUGUAGUUAAGGGGCAGCUUAAGUGUGGUUUGAGGACUCCAAAACAGGCAUACAACUACUAGGUCCAUACAAGUUCAACUUGGAGAUGAUGACAUAGGCACUAUCCCACUUUUCAGUUAAGAUUCAGCUGUAUUUGUGUAGCUGUAUAUAACCUGUACAUUAUUUUGACAGGAAAUAUGCUAAGUUCCAGUUCUUGAAGAGUUGUAAAAGCAUUUUAAAGAUCAUUACUUAUUUCACUGUAUUUGUUAUUUUUAAUUAUCUUGAAGAAUAAUGUGGAACAGUUAAGCACAAUAGUGUACAAAUAUGAUCUGAAGCAGAAGUUCUCUUUUUACUUGAAGAAUAAACUGAGUUUUCUCAGAAGUUGAAACUUUUACAAAAGAUAGACUCUUAUUUUUGAAUCCACAAAUAGAUGGUAGUAUAAUUUAACAAUUAAGCAAGUCCUAUAGGGAAUUUAGGAUCUGACCAUUGCCCAGAGAUGUCAAAUACCUGCUUUACCUGUUCAAAACGAAAACAAAACUUUAGUACCUACAAAACUUGAAAGGAAGAUUUUUUUUUGUGGUUGAGUGCAAAGAAAACGAGUAAUACCUAUCAAAUUCUGCAAGCAGCCUUAACCAAUGGGACUUUGUAUCUAUCAGCUUUUCUAGAAUGCUGUAAAAUUAGUGUAAUAAAGAAUGAAUGUGAAGAUAC
ensembl:lncRNA